rnacentral:rRNA from 1 species
AUUGAGCGCUGGCGGCAGGCUUAACACAUGCAAGUCGAGCGGGGUGAUGGUGCUUGCACUAUCACUUAGCGGCGGACGGGUGAGUAAUGCUUAGGAAUCUGCCUAUUAGGGGGGGACAACAUCUCGAAAGGGAUGCUAAUACCGCAUACGUCCUACGGGAGAAAGCAGGGGAUCACUUGUGACCUUGCGCUAAUAGAUGAGCCUAAGUCGGAUUAGCUAGUUGGUGGGGUAAAGGCCUACCAAGGCGACGAUCUGUAGCGGGUCUGAGAGGAUGCUCCGCCACACUGGGACGGGGACACGGCCCAGACUCCUACGGGAGGCAGCAGUGGGGAAUAUUGGACAAUGGGGGGAACCCUGAUCCAGCCAUGCCGCGUGUGUGAAGAAGGCCUUAUGGUUGUAAAGCACUUUAAGCGAGGAGGAGGCUCUUUUGGUUAAUACCCAGAAUGAGUGGACGUUACUCGCAGAAUAAGCACCGGCUAACUCUGUGCCAGCCGCCGCGGUAA